UACGUAGGGCGCAAGCGUUGUCCGGAAUUAUUGGGCGUAAAGAGCUCGUAGGUGGUCUGUUGCGUCCGCUGUGAAAACCUAAGGCUUAACCUUGGGCCUGCAGUGGAUACGGGCAGACUAGAGGUAGGUAGGGGAGAAUGGAAUUCCUGGUGUAGCGGUGAAAUGCGCAGAUAUCAGGAGGAACACCGGUGGCGAAGGCGGGUCUCUGGGCCGAUACUGACACUGAGGAGCGAAAGCGUGGGGAGCGAACAGG
rnacentral:rRNA from 1 species